AGACUUGCUGAAUCUUCUGUCCUUCAUCUUUCUUCUGUGCUGGAUGCUUCCUGCCCUCAAACUUCAGACUCCAAGUUCUCCAGCUUUUGGUUUCUUGGACUCACACCAGUGAUUUGCCAGGGACUCUCGGGCUUACUACCACAGACUGAAGGCUGCACUGUUGGCUUCCCUACUUUUGAGGUUUGGGGGCUGGCUUCCUAGUUUCUCAGCUUGUGGAUGACCUACUGUGGGGCUUCACCUUGUAAUCAGGUGGUGAGAAAACAACCUGAACCUGGCUGAGCUAGGGAACAAAAAAUUCCUGCAUCGUUGUUCUAUAACAUUCUUCUUUCUUUGGACCCAGUAAGGCCCUGUGAGACUCCUCUAAUUUUUGAAGCUUUGCUGGAUUCCAGUUCACCACCAGGAUAAGAAGAAAAUGAGAACAUUUUUGUCGCUUGCUAUGAGAAUCCCAAGAGAGCUUGCUUCCUCUAUCUGCCAUUUGAGGACACCACUAGGAGACAAGCAUCUAAGAACCAGGAGAGUAUUAGGCCAUUCUUGCAUUGCUAUAAAAAAAAUACCUGAGACUGUGUAAUUUAUUUUUUUAAAAAAAGGUUUAAUUGGCUCAUGUUUCUUCAGGCUAUGUAACAAGCAUGGCACUGGCAUCUGCCCAGCUCCUGGGGACACCUUAAGGAACUUUGACUCAUGUCAGAAGGUGAAGUGACAGCAGGCACUUCAGAUGCCAAAAGCAGGAGCAAAGAGGGGCUGUGGAAGGUGCCAUAUACUUUUAAAUUGGCAGAUCUCAUGAGGACUCAGAGGGAGAGCUCACUUAUCACCAAGGGGAUGGCCCAAGCCAUUCAUGAGAAAUCCGCCCCCAUGAUCUCAACACCUCCCACCAGGCCACACCUCCAACACUGGGGAUUGCAUUUCAACACGAGAUUUAGGUGGGGACAAAUAUACAAACUAUAUCAAUGCCAGACAUUAAAUCUAUUUGCCCCUUGAUCUUGGACUCCUCAGCCUCCAGAACUGACUGUGAGGAAUAUAUUUGGAUUGUUUAUAAGCCACCCAGUUUAUGAUAUUCUGUUAUAACAGCCUAAAUGGAAUAAGACAGCACUUUUUACAGAUGAUUAACUAUAAGGACUUUAUUUUAUCUAUACAUUCUUAAAAUAUUUUUAAAUUACAUUGAUUCUUUUUUUCCAAAUUAAUACAGUUUGACCACUGUAGGAAAUUUGGAAAACACAUGAUUACAUUUUUAAAAAGCAUCUUUUUUAGCCAUGCUAUUUUCUACACUGGUACUACUUUUAUAGAUAUUAAUGCUACCACCAUCACUUAUUGAUACUUAUAGAGUAUCAGUGACAUAAAUAAACAAGUUAUAUGUAAUAAUGUAGUAAGAUAGAAUUUUUAAUCCUUACUUCACAUAUUAGGAAUCUGCAACUAAGAAAGUUCACAAAACUAGUAAGUGGCAGAGCUAGUAUUUAAGCCCCUGUGUGUUUUAAGAAAUAUUUUUUACAUGAGUUCACUUUGUCUUAUCUACUUUCUUAAAGGCUCUAACUCCAAAUACAGUCAUAUUUUAAAAUACUAGGGGUUAGGAGUUUAACAUGUGAAUUUAGAGGGACACAAUUCAGCUCAUAACAUUAAUACAUGGUCUCAUUUUCUUCCUUUCUUUUAAAAUAUAUGAAAACUUUGGAUUAUGUUGCAUAUAUGGUAGAGUUUUUUUAAUAUACAAUUAUCAUGAGUAUUUAUAACUAAGUAUUUUAUAAAUAUAAUUUUUAAUUGCAUUAAAUUAUUUCUUAACUUUGGAUUAUGUUGCAUAUAUUGUAGAGUUCUUUUUAUAUACAAUUAUCAUGAGUAUUUACAACUUUAUUUUAUAAAUAUAAUUUUUAAUGGCAUUAAAUUAUUUCUUAAUGUAGACACCUAUACAUUUUAUCUCAUAGUCUCUUGGGAUAAUAAAUUGCUAAAGUAUUCUGUCUAUUUAGAGAACAGUGUUGCUUUUAAUUUAAAAUUUUAUUAAAGAGUGAACCUCACAGGGGUGCGAACUCCCAGGACUCCUUUAUAACAUCAAAAAACUUACUAAAAAAUAUCUCACAUAUAGUUAACAAUAUUUGUCUUAAUUCAACAUAUAUUUAAAUUUACUCUAUCAAAACCUUUCAAUAUUUGAUAAACACACAUAACAGAUUAAAAAACUUGUUAUAUCUAAGUCAACCUAAGGAAUUACUAGUUUACAAGCCUCGUGCUACAGAAAGAAAAUUGAAACACUGUUAAAAGAAAUUACUUGCUAAGUUCUGUUGUAGGUAGACUCAACAUUUAAACCAGGCUUCUGUACUUCACAUAACCAUGUCUCAGAACUUUUGAUUUUUAGUGGAAAUACUGGAAAAGUUUUUUAAAUUGAGUAUCAUUGAAAUUCAUUGACACACUCUCUAUUUUUUUUUUGAAAUGUUGUAAGUAGGGUCAUCAUAUAAUGUAGAGUCUGAACCAGGACUCUCCUCUCUCUCUCUCUCUUUUUUUUUUAUAAUGUGCUUUUUAACAGCCACAACCAGACAUAGGUAUAAAUUAGAAGGGAAUCAGGCAAAUCAGGACCUAUUAUCAACAUACUCCUAAGCAAAAAUGUCAAUUGUGGUCAAGAGACUAUGAGGUCAAAUCAUAAGCAUGGAGUACAAAUAUGUCAUUGCUAACCACCAAUAUUUUUAUGUUAUAUUUUCCAAAAGGUAGGCAAAAAUGUUCAAACACUAUAGUAAUGGACCAAAGGGUACAUGAUCAAAAUAGGUUUAAAUAAUGAGUGAUGCACAAUACAACUUAUCAUGAAAUAUAAAGUGCAGUUUUUAAAAAAUGCACACACACAUUUAAUUAUGUAUGUAUACACACAGAUAAGUACAAUUUAUUUAUACAAAUAAAAUGUACAAAUAAUCAUUUACUUUUUUUGUAAUUUCGCAAAAAAAAAAAAA
rnacentral:lncRNA from 1 species